UCAGGAUGAACGCUAGCGGCAGCCUAAUACAUGCAAUCGAACGCUCAGUAGCAAUACUGGGAGUGGCGCACGGGUGCGUAACGCGUACACAAUCUACCUCUAAGCGGGGGACACCUCCUGGAAACGGGGAUUAAUACCGCAUAAUAUGCCGAAGUCGCAUGACUUUGGUAUUAAAGCAGCAAUGCACUUAGAGAUGAGUGUGCGUCCCAUUAGGUAGUUGGUGAGGUAACGGCUCACCAAGCCUAUGAUGGGUAGCCGGUCUGAGAGGAUGGUCGGCCACACGGGCACUGAGACACGGGCCCGACUCCUACGGGAGGCAGCAGUAAGGAAUAUUGGUCAAUGGUGGAAACACUGAACCAGCCAUGCCGCGUGGAGGAAUAAGGUCCUACGGAUUGUAAACUCCUUUUGACGAGGAAGAAAAUGUUAGAUUUAUCUAAUUUUGACGGUACUCGUAGAAUAAGCACCGGCUAACUCCGUG
rnacentral:rRNA from 1 species